rnacentral:rRNA from 1 species
GAUCAUGGCUCAGGAUGAACGCUAGCUACAGGCUUAACACAUGCAAGUCGAGGGGAAACGAUAUUGGAAGCUUGCUUCCGAUAGGCGUCGACCGGCGCACGGGUGAGUAACGCGUAUCCAACCUGCCCACCACUUGGGGAUAACCUUGCGAAAGUAAGACUAAUACCCAAUGAUAUCUCUAGAAGACAUCUGAAAGGGAUUAAAGAUUUAUCGGUGAUGGAUGGGGAUGCGUCUGAUUAG